GCCAGCGCGCCGGGAUCGGGAAGCCAAUCUAGGCGCCGAAGAAGCAAGAAGAGGCGCCGCCGCAUUCCUUCUUACCAGGUGAGCGGCGGGAGGGUUUAUGUAGUAUCGAUGAAGUUCUAGCAACGAGAUACUUUGAUUGAUGUCUCGGACAGGCUGAUUUUUUUCGGGUCUUCCUGGUUGCUGGGAAUGAGGACUUACGCAAGAAGCACAAACACCUGGACUUUUCCUCCUGUGUGAUCAUGAUGUUGGGAUGAAAAGAAACACCACAAAGAGAAACAAACCUUGCUGGCAAAGACGUGCUUUGGAUUGACACUCGACAAUUCUUCCUACUGCAGACUUUUGACAAAGAAAUCGGCUCACAACAUUCCACCUCUC